GAUGAACGCUGGCGGCGUGCCUAAUACAUGCAAGUCGAGCGAACAGAUGAGGAGCUUGCUCCUCUGACGUUAGCGGCGGACGGGGGAGUAACACGUGGAUAACCUACCUAUAAGACUGGGAUAACUUCGGGAAACCGGAGCUAAUACCGGAUAAUAUAUUGAACCGCAUGGUUCAAUAGUGAAAGACGGUUUUGCUGUCACUUAUAGAUGGAUCCGCGCCGCAUUAGCUAGUUGGUAAGGUAACGGCUUACCAAGGCAACGAUGCGUAGCCGACCUGAGAGGGUGAUCGGCCACAAUGGAACUGAGACACGGUCCAGACUCCUACGGGAGGCAGCAGUAGGGAAUCUUCCGCAAUGGGCGAAAGCCUGACGGAGCAACGCCGCGUGAGUGAUGAAGGUCUUCGGAUCGUAAAACUCUGUUAUUAGGGAAGAACAAAUGUGUAAGUAACUAUGCACGUCUUGACGGUACCUAAUCAGAAAGCCACGGCUAACUACGUG
rnacentral:rRNA from 1 species